GCUACCUGAUGGCCUGUCGUACCCCGCAGACCUAUCUCUGUCUUCUCAAAAACAAAACAACAACAAAAAUCACUUAAAAUGGGGCUAGGAGUGCUUGUCACUAAGCCAGAGCAGGCUGUAUUUCACCAUAUGCUGUGAGGGGCUAUGCGGCUUGAGGCAGAGACAUAUCUGGGGCUCACUGGGCUCACUGGCCAACUGACCUAAUUGACACCUACUGAGCCAGUGAAAAAAUGACUUACAUUCACCUCCCACUCACAAGCACACAUAUGCUCACCACCACUUGAAAACAGAACUCAGGGGAACGUGCAGAUUUGCACAUUGUGCGCCAGAGCAUCGAGAUUGGGAGCCUGUCGGUGUCUGUUGUUCUCACAGCUCUGCUGUGUGGCUGGGUUUUAGGGGAAGACUUUGUUUUUGUUUUAUUUUAUGUGUGUGGAUGUUUCGCCUGUAUGUGUGCCUGUGCACCAUGUAUGUGCCUGCUUCCCGCAGAGGCCAGAAGAGCGCAUCAGAGUUAUGUGAGAUGCCAUUAGGUUCUGGGAAUCACACGUGGGUCCUCUACAAGAAUAGUCCGUGCUCUGAACUGCUGAGCCAUCUCUCCAGCCCUGGUGAGGGGGCUGUUUUUGUUCACAUCAGAUGGGAGAGAUUGACAAACUAAAGAGGGGGUUCUGUCCAAGUCUACUCUGCAGCUCAGUGCAUUGAAGGAGCAUAGGUGACUCAGGCAGCUGCAUUACUGAGAAGCCAGCCCCACACCCCAGCAUUCCUGGGUCCCGCUAUGGGAUUUGCAAACAGCUCCAAGAGGCUCCCCUUCCUAGCAGUAGCUCACUGUUUAUAUAACCUCAUACAAGCUUCAUGUGUCUUGUAAGUUCCUGGUGAGUGUCAUGAGCCUUGCGAAUUUCCCUCCUCCUCUCCCCUUUCCUCCCCGCUCCAUGAGGGGAUGUGUCUUUAUGAAGCGAAUAGCUACACAAUCAGGCCACCUGGGACACCUUUGGUGACUUGAGCGCUUUCAGGAUAUGUCAACACAGAGUUGUCAGUGGACAGGAGGCUGCUGGGACUGUCACAUCGCUAGAGUUCUUUCUGUUCCAGGACUAGUUACUGCUUUUAACAAUCAAUACAUGGAACGAGCAGGCGGAGCUGGAGUGCAGCUGGGUGGUAGAGCGCUUGCUUGCCUAGUAUGUGUUACCACGGCGGCCACUCCAACAGCACACAGGAAACUCCUCUUCAUUAUCUCUUUAGGGAGCAGCAAGCAGCGUCAGAUGCCUUUGAGUACAUUCUGGGCACGCCACUUUAAGACAUAAUCUGUGUGAUUGCCUCUUUAAAUUAAUAUUUUAUGCUGUCUCAUUGCCAAUGACUAUAAUAAAAUGGCUAUAAACGUAUU
rnacentral:lncRNA from 1 species